rnacentral:other from 1 species
UCCAGUGUAGGCAGUAUCUAUUACACAGCCAACAUCAUCAGUCUGGAAGCCAGAUUGAGAGCGCUGUGAGCAAGCCUGACUGUGAUCAGGAAGCCUAAGGCGCUCCAGAGGCAUCCACCUAGCUACAAGGACUGGUUGUAAUAAUACUGUCUAUGUUCUGCAUUUUUA